rnacentral:rRNA from 1 species
GACGAACGCUGGCGGCGUGCUUAACACAUGCAAGUCGAACGGUGAAGCGCCUUCCUUUUUGGUGGGUGUGGAUGAGUGGCGAACGGGUGAGUAACACGUGAGUAACCUGCCCCCUUCUUCUGGAUAACCGCAUGAAAGUGUGGCUAAUACGGGAUAUUCUGUGUCUGUCGCAUGAUGGGUCUGGGAAAGAUAUUGUUUCGGUGGGGGAUGGGCUCGCGGCCUAUCAGCUUGUUGGUGGGGUGAUGGCCUACCAAGGCGGUGACGGGUAGCCGGCCUGAGAGGGUGGACGGUCACACUGGGACUGAGACACGGCCCAGACUCCUACGGGAGGCAGCAGUGGGGAAUAUUGCACAAUGGGCGCAAGCCUGAUGCAGCGACGCCGCGUGAGGGAUGGAGGCCUUCGGGUUGUGAACCUCUUUCGCCAGUGAAGCAGGCCUGCCUCGUUUGUGGGUGGGUUGACGGUAGCUGGAUAAGAAGCACCGGCUAACUACGUG